AUUGAACGCUGGCGGCAGGCUUAACACAUGCAAGUCGAGCGGAGUGAUGGUGCUUGCACUAUCACUUAGCGGCGGACGGGUGAGUAAUGCUUAGGAAUCUGCCUAUUAGUGGGGGACAACAUCUCGAAAGGGAUGCUAAUACCGCAUACGUCAUACGGGAGAAAGCAGGGGAUCACUUGUGACCUUGCGCUAAUAGAUGAGCCUAAGUCGGAUUAGCUAGUUGGUGGGGUAAAGGCCUACCAAGGCGACGAUCUGUAGCGGGUCUGAGAGGAUGGUCCGCCACACUGGGACUGAGACACGGCCCAGACUCCUACGGGAGGCAGCAGUGGGGAAUAUUGGACAAUGGGGGGAGCCCUGAUCCAGCCAUGCCGCGUGUGUGAAGAAGGCCUUAUGGUUGUAAAGCACUUUAAGCGAGGAGGAGGCUCUUUUGGUUAAUACCCAAGAUGAGUGGACGUUACUCGCAGAAUAAGCACCGGCUAACUCUGUGCCAGCCGCCGCGGUAA
rnacentral:rRNA from 1 species